GAGAAUGUCAUUAGGAUCAUUGUUGUCAGAGAACCCCCUGCGAGUGUCUCCAAUUUUGAUGUUUAGUAGAUGUUUGCUGUGGGAGCUCUCGACUGUUGUUCCCGGGAAUUUUUAGUGUUUCCAGUCAUGGUCAUUUGCACAUAGCCACAAGUCCACUCACAGGAAAUGUUGGUUAUCAGUGAGAUGCCACUAUUCAGAUUGUGAGUGCAUCCAUAAUAUCUUUCUCUUAUUUGCUAGGCCGAAGAUGGUGUUAGUGAUUGCGAGCUGCUGGCUGGCACCCUUGCAGAGCAGGAGUAAAGCGCCAGUGUUGUCAGCCCAGUGCUGCAUAAGCUGUUGUUCAACAAAUGGACUUUGGCCGAGUCCUGUGGUGCCGCGUGUGUUUCUCAACAGUUUACUCGUUUAUCUUGUGGAUUGCUUCAUAGUAUGGUGUGCUGUUGCCGUCUGCCACACCUGUGUUACAGGGUAAGAGGAAGUUUUCCAUUUGCUUGCACAGUGUCAUCACAGAAGUGUAAGCCCUUGAAACACAACAAACCAAUGCAGUUUGUCUGGCAAAAGGCAGGCAGUCUCUAGAUCACCUCUUCUCCUGUCCUCUUCUCCAUUGGGAGUGCGUACUGCAGCCCUGAGCAGGACAAUACAUAUGGCCAAGGGACAGGCAGAGAACCCUGUGGAAAGGAGGUCCCACCUGUUUGCAUAGAACUGUGGAACUGGGAUACACCUGCCCUCAUCAGACUUAAGUUAUGUGACCUCUGAAAGAAGGGUGAUGUGGAGCCAUCUGACCUG
rnacentral:lncRNA from 1 species